rnacentral:rRNA from 1 species
CCUACGGGAGGCAGCAGUAGGGAAUCUUUCACAAUGGGCGAAAGCCUGAUGGAGCAACGCCGCGUGCAGGAUGAAGGCCUUCGGGUUGUAAACUGCUUUUAUAAGCGAGAAAUAUGAUGGUAACUUAUGAAUAAGGAUCGGCUAACUACGUGCCAGCAGCCGCGGUCAUACGUAGGAUCCGAGCAUUAUCCGGAGUGACUGGGUGUAAAGAGUUGCGUAGGUGGCAUAAUAAGUAGCUAGUGAAAUCUGGUGGCUCAACCAUUCAGACUAUUAGCUAAACUGUUAAGCUCGAGACCGUUAGGGGUAACUGGAAUUUCUAGUGUAGGAGUGAAAUCCGUAGAUAUUAGAAGGAACACCAAUAGCGUAGGCAGGUUGCUGGGACGGUUCUGACACUAAGGCACGAAAGCGUAGGGAGCAAACGGGAUUAGAUACCCGAUUAGUC